GCCGGGCAUGGUAGUGCAUGCCUGUAAUCCUAGCUACUCAGGAGGCUGAGGCAGGAGGAUCUCGAGUUCAAUGCCAGCCUCAGCAAAAGUGAGGCAAACCUAAGCAACUCAGUGAGAUCCUGUCUCUA
rnacentral:sRNA from 1 species